rnacentral:lncRNA from 1 species
UUAGAAGCCACAGUGUUUUCUUUGUUCUUGGCAUCAUUGAAGAUCUUUUCCAACAGGUCAUCACAUAGACUUCUUGCUCGGCUUGAGUCCUGGGGGUGACCUUAGGAAUCACAGAACCAAACCCUGGGAAUGCCGUGAGUUCUGGAGACCAGAAGUCUGGAAUCAAAAUGACAGGGGCUUUCAGCUGGAACUACCAUCUUCCAGUAAUUCACCAAGAUGACCAACACAAAGGGAAAGAGGCGAGGCACUCACUAUAUGUUCUCUAGGCCUUAGAAGACAUGGAGUUGUUCCUUUGGCCACAUACAUGUGAAUCUACGAGAAAGGGGAUAUUAUCAACAGCAAGGGAAUGGGCACUGUUCAGAAAGGAGUACCCCAUGAACGUCACCAUGCAAAGUGGGAAGAGUCUACAGUGUGACCCAAUGCUGUUGGUGGUGUUGUAAGCAAACAAGCUCCCAUCGAGCGCGGAUUAGUUAUCUGUCAUCGGGACUCUGAAGGCAGUUCUUUAAUAAAUCUCCC